UGUCAGCCUGUGAGAUCAUAUUGAUAGAGAAGUUUUUUUACUGGCACAGCUUCCUCUUAGUCUUCCUCAUACUGUAUGCUUUCAAGCUUUAAAGUGGUAAUAUUUGCCAGGUGCAGAGCGACAGAGUGUCAGUAUUGGAUGUGAAGAGGGAAACCACUUUGUUUGGUGUGCUGGGGUUAUUCUUGCUGAAUACGCUCCUCCACUCUGGACAUGCUGAAGGUCCAUAACAAGAAGAGUAUUACUUUUUCAUGUAAAAUGAACUUUUAUUUUGUCUUUUAAACAUGGAUUGAUAAUGUAUGUACUUUGUUUGUACCUGGAUGUUAUUUUGAAAGCUUAGUCUCAUUUUAUGCAGCAAUAAACCUUUUUUCAACAGCCAA